UCGAUUUCUCUUCUGCCCGCGGUCGAACGAACUUCCGCCGAUCGUCCGUCUUCCGUUGACCGUGUGUUAUCCGCUGACGGUUCAACGUCGGCCAACUAUUUCGCCUCCGCCCACACUUCAACGUUCGCCCAAUCUUCUGCCAACAACCGGUUUCUAUUAUGGUGGAGGUAAAAAGGAAAGGAGAGAAUUUGGAGCUAUUCGAAGGCGAUGGAAAACAUUACAUCAAGUAAGCAACCCUGAUAAAGAAAGGAGGCAUGGAAAAUGUCCACCGACUCCAGAAGAGGUUUGUUUGAUGCUGAGAGCACUCGGAUAUGGGCAGGAUGUUUAUAUCCUUCAAUUUGGCUUGAAUAUGUGCCUCUAUGGCCCUUAAAUCUCCAUGAUUUUUUGCUUUCCAUGGCUUUUAGGUCCUCUGAUGCCGCCACAUCACCAAAUUUGCUUUCUUUGGCUAUUUUUAGCACUAAUUGUCGCCUACCACUGACACCCACUUUGUCAUCUUUUGGUCUUAGGCUCUUGAAAUCUUCAACUAGAUCAUCUAAGGUUUGUUGGGGUUGGUCCUUUUUUUUUUUUUAUAGUUUUUUGGUUUUUUGCUGGUGUUUAUCUUGUUGAUGUACUGAUGCAAAGCUAUUUUUAACUUAUUUGUUUAUUUAUUUAUGAACUUGUAUUUAUGGAGUUUUCUUCUGUCAAGCUUUCUUGGUUUUGCUUUCUUUCGGUGGCUUUUUUGUUAAGGAAUUUGUUGUGAAUAAAUUUGCUUAAGGAUUUUUGUUUGCUUCCUUUUUGGUUUAUGAAGAUUUUUGGUAAUUUAAAAUAAAGAUUUUUUGUGUUGGGGAUUAUUCAGUCUGCUUGUAUGUUUCUCUAAGUACGUAGGUUAAGGGUGCUUAUUGAGAUUAACUAGAGCUGUCAAUAUAUUUAAGCAUAUGCAGAAAAAUAGAAACUUGAAUUGUAGUCCUUCAAUUAGAACAUAUAAUCUACUUUUUACUGCAUUUUUGAGUCGAUGUCGUAAUACUUAUUUUUUCUCAAUUGUACUUGUGUAUCAAUUGAAGGUUUAGGACUUACAAGUGCCAUUUACUAAAAGGUUAAAACCCUAUGAUAUUUAUCCAGAUGCUCAGCUUCAUAUAGUUCUAAAUUAAGAAGAUCAUUAGUGCUUACCUUUUGUGGUCACACACGGCUUAUAAAUGCUACAAUUAUUAGACAAUCAGUGAGGUUAGCUUCUUGAGACUCUUUUAAUAUCUUAUAUAUGUUUUCCUUUUCAAUGACUAAAAAAUUCUUUGUGGGAGUUGAAUAACAAGAUAUCUUCUCCAAAAGAAGCUUGUGAUGCCUUAUGUCUUUUCUUAUCAAGUUCAAGGUACUUUUGCAAGUUGAGUUCAUUUAACAUAGAUUUUUCUUUUCACUUCAAGAACCAAUCCAGAAAGUCAUCUUAAGUAUGGGAAGUAGAUUUUCAGAUUGAAAAUUGUGGGCUUCAAAAUAUGUAAGUAGUUUCUACAUCCCUACCAAAAUACAUAUUUGACUAUUGUUGUUUAAAGUAUAUUUUGUAUCAUUUUAGUUUUGAUGAAAGUGUUUUCUAUGCUUUAAAAGUGUACUUUUGUUAAUAAUAAGUGUAAUGAUGAUAUCUACAACUAUUAGUAAUAAUCGUAACAAGUGUAAUGUUCUUAUAAAGUUAGGGCAUGGUGGAAAGGUUUACAAACAUGUAGAGUUCAAUAUAACCUCACCAUCACCACAAGCCAAGAAUUUUUGUUACAGGUAU